AGAGUUUGAUCCUGGCUCAGAUUGAACGCUGGCGGCAGGCCUAACACAUGCAAGUCGAGCGGUAGCACAGAGAGCUUGCUCUCGGGUGACGAGCGGCGGACGGGUGAGUAAUGUCUGGGAAACUGCCUGAUGGAGGGGGAUAACUACUGGAAACGGUAGCUAAUACCGCAUAAUGUCGCAAGACCAAAGUGGGGGACCUUCGGGCCUCAUGCCAUCAGAUGUGCCCAGAUGGGAUUAGCUAGUAGGUGGGGUAACGGCUCACCUAGGCGACGAUCCCUAGCUGGUCUGAGAGGAUGACCAGCCACACUGGAACUGAGACACGGUCCAGACUCCUACGGGAGGCAGCAGUGGGGAAUAUUGCACAAUGGGCGCAAGCCUGAUGCAGCCAUGCCGCGUGUGUGAAGAAGGCCUUCGGGUUGUAAAGCACUUUCAGCGGGGAGGAAGGCGUUAAGGUUAAUAACCUUGGCGAUUGACGUUACCCGCAGAAGAAGCACCGGCUAACUCCGUGCCAGCAGCCGCGGUAAUACGGAGGGUGCAAGCGUUAAUCGGAAUUACUGGGCGUAAAGCGCACGCAGGCGGUCUGUCAAGUCGGAUGUGAAAUCCCCGGGCUCAACCUGGGAACUGCAUUCGAAACUGGCAGGCUAGAGUCUUGUAGAGGGGGGUAGAAUUCCAGGUGUAGCGGUGAAAUGCGUAGAGAUCUGGAGGAAUACCGGUGGCGAAGGCGGCCCCCUGGACAAAGACUGACGCUCAGGUGCGAAAGCGUGGGGAGCAAACAGGAUUAGAUACCCUGGUAGUCCACGCCGUAAACGAUGUCGAUUUGGAGGUUGUGCCCUUGAGGCGUGGCUUCCGGAGCUAACGCGUUAAAUCGACCGCCUGGGGAGUACGGCCGCAAGGUUAAAACUCAAAUGAAUUGACGGGGGCCCGCACAAGCGGUGGAGCAUGUGGUUUAAUUCGAUGCAACGCGAAGAACCUUACCUGGUCUUGACAUCCACAGAACUUAGCAGAGAUGCUUUGGUGCCUUCGGGAACUGUGAGACAGGUGGUGCAUGGUUGUCGUCAGCUCGUGUCGUGAGAUGUUGGGUUAAGUCCCGCAACGAGCGCAACCCUUGCCUUUAGUUGCCAGCAUUAAGUUGGGCACUCUAGAGGGACUGCCAGGGAUAACCUGGAGGAAGGUGGGGAUGACGUCAAAUCAUCAUGCCCCUUAUGUUUAGGGCUACACACGUGCUACAAUGGGUGCUACAAAGGGAAGCAAAUCCGCGAGGCCGAGCAAAUCUCAAAAAAGCACUCCCAGUUCGGAUUGUAGUCUGCAACUCGACUACAUGAAGUUGGAAUCGCUAGUAAUCGCGAAUCAGCAUGUCGCGGUGAAUACGUUCCCGGGCCUUGCACUCACCGCCCGUCA
rnacentral:rRNA from 1 species